rnacentral:misc_RNA from 1 species
UCCUAGUUAACCUAGGCAGUCUCGCUAGAGUGCCCACCAUUACGUGUUGGCAACUAACGACAAGGGUUGCGCUCGUUGCGGGACUUAACCCAACACCUCACGGCACGAGCUGACGACAGCCAUGCAGCACCUGUGCAGCUGUCUCUUGCGAGAAGACCCCAUUUCUGAAGCGGUCAACUGCAUGUCAAGUCCAGGUAAGGUUCUUCGCGUUGCAUCGAAUUAAACCACAUGCUCCACUGCUUGUGCGGGUCCCCGUCAAUUCUUUUGAGUUUUACCCUUGCGAGCGUACUCCCCAGGCGGUAUACUUAUCGCGUUUGCUUCGGUACAGUCAGGGUUGAGCCUCACUACACCAAGUAUACAUCGUUUAAGGCAAGGACUAC